CCUCCGGUAGCUCAGCAGGAAGAGCGAACAGAGCACAACUCUGUGGACGCUGGUUCGAGUCCAGCUCGGAGGG
rnacentral:tRNA from 1 species